CUUUGUCUCGUCCAGCCUUCAUUUAGAAAACUCCAGCCAAGGUUAGAAGAACCGUUAAAACAUCGAUUCCCAAACGAAUAAAAAAAAUGAAGGCUAUCGUUGUCAUGGUGUGUUUUGCUGUUUUACUGGCUGUUGGUAUGGAUGGUGCAGAGAGUGGAAGAGUAGCUGUUCCUGACUUGUUUGACGAUCAACAAGAAGACGAUUACAAACGGCCAUUAAAGCGAUGUAGAGAUUUUGGUGGUUGCGAGUAUGACUGGGAAUGCUGUAACAACAGAUGUUACUAUGGACACUGCGGCUAACUGCUGAWACUUGUUGGAUAGAUUUAGUCCAUAGUCGUUAAGUAAGCCAUCGAAUACCUCCUUUAUGACUGAUUAGAAUUUUGAAGUCUUUAUCAUAAGAUGUGUGUCUGUYGUGUUUCAUGCUAUAGAGCAUGGUAUCACUAGAAACACAGAUUAAUUUAUACCAUUGGACGAUGUAAAGUAGAAAAAUCACAUGUAAGUAAAGAUUGUUAACGACCGAUGAUAGAUGAGAUAAAACACAGUUAGAUAAAUUUAUCUUGUUGGGUGUUUUGUAUUCAUAAUUCUAGCUGCAAGUAACCAUGCUGGGACUAUUACACUGCAAUGAUAUCGAAAUCUAACUAGUACUAAAAUAAAAUAACAUUUGUAUUCAA